rnacentral:lncRNA from 1 species
UUUUUUUCAUUUCAGUUGCUGUGCUUUUCAACUCCAGAAUUUCUAUUUUAUUCUUUUUUUAUGAUGUUAAACUGUUUAUUGAUAUUGUAUAUUUAGUUGAGAAUAUAUUGUUCUCACACUCUUCUUUAGUUCUUUCAACAUGGUUUUCUUUAGAUUUUUUGAAAUAUUUAUCAAAGCUGGUUUAAUUCCUUUGUCUAGUAAGUCUAAUGUCUGGUAUUCCUGAGGGUCAGUUUUUAUUGACUUUUCCCUCUUAUAUAUAUAUGGGUCAUACUUUUCUUUUUUCUUUGUUGGGGUGCCCGGAUGGCUUAGUCAGUUGAGCAGCUGAAUUUUUGUUUCGGCUCAGGUCAUGAUCUCAGGGUCAUGAACUGAGCCCCAUGGUGGGCUCCACACUCAGCAGGGAGUCCACUUGCAAGUCUCCUCUUUCUGCCCCUCUUUCUGCUCACAGGCACACUUGCAUGCUCUCUUUCUCUAAAAUAAAUAAAUCUUUACAGAAAAAACUAGACAUGUUAAACAAUAUAAUGUGGUAAUUCUAGAUAACAGAUUCCUUUCUCAUCCCCAAAGGGCUUGCUUUUUUUUUUUUCUGUGUGAUAUUGUUAUUGUUUCUCUCCUGCUGAUUUUGCUGUUGUUUGCUCAGUGACUUUUCUGAAUUCUCUGAAGUUUGUAUUUUUGUCAUGUGUGGCUACUGAGAUCACCACUCAAUUAAAUUUGUGAUCAGCUACUUUUUAGACAAGGAUUUACUUAAAUACCUUGAACCAAUAUGUCUCCCAGACUUUGUCAAGGGAUCCUAUAUGCAUGUUGGGGCAAAAAUUCAAUGUUCUGGUGGACAGUUUACAACUCUGGCUUAGCCUUGACUUCUUCCUUGUGCAGAAGCUCAAGGUCAGCCAAAGGAAAGAUUAGGGCUCCCUUAUAUCUUUCCUGGGCAUGUGCACAUCUCUGCACAUACUCCCUAAACCAGACCCUAAAAGAAGUUCCAUUGUUAUAUGAAGAAGACACUGACGCAUCAUUAACAUAAAUUCUUAAAUGACCCAGAACUUAAUUUACUGCAGAUAUGUCCUUUACCAUAGCUAAUAUUUCUCUGCCUGGCUUUGAGUAAAUCAUGGUUUUAUGCUCACCAGAUCAAACUUCUCUAUGCAUAUUUUGUAGAUGAUUUAAAAACACAGCACCUAAUUCAAGCAUUAAAAGUCCAAAUGUUACAAAGGUUGCAUAUUUCAACAAAAUCUUAAAGAUGAUAGGAUCCAGGAAAUGCCAAAGUUCUUCCCUCUUCAAAUUAAAAUUCUAAACAAUUGUACAAAAGCUCCUCAGUUCAGCAUCUUCUGUAGCCCACUCCCCAGACAGAGAUUUUAUGGUCUUCAUAUAUGCUUAGCACAUAUAGCUCAUUUAGAGAAGGGCUUAUAUCACCAAAUACUUUGACUAUAUAGGUUAUUUCAGGGACCUUCCUAAGGGACAAUAAUUGAAUCUUUCCAGUGCUGCUUUCUUAUACAGAGAUCAUCCUAUAGGUGCUCUUCAUAAGGAUAUGAAAGAGUACA